GGGCGCUUAGCACAGUGGUAGCGCGCAUGCUUUGCAUACUCGCAUAAAUUGCAUGAGGUCGUGGGUUCAAGCCCCACAGUGUCCA
rfam:Hypholoma sublateritium FD-334 SS-4 unplaced genomic scaffold scaffold_44, whole genome shotgun sequence.